rnacentral:rRNA from 1 species
UACGGAGGGCGCUAGCGUUGUUCGGAAUUACUGGGCGUAAAGCGCGCGUAGGCGGCUUUGUAAGUUAGAGGUGAAAGCCCGGGGCUCAACCCCGGAACUGCCUUUAAGACUGCAUCGCUUGAAUCCGGGAGAGGUGAGUGGAAUUCCGAGUGUAGAGGUGAAAUUCGUAGAUAUUCGCAAGAACACCAGUGGCGAAGGCGGCUCACUGGCCCGGUACUGACGCUGAGGCGCGAAAGCGUGGGGAGCAAACAGG